rnacentral:rRNA from 1 species
GAUGAACGCUGGCGGUCUGCUUAACACAUGCAAGUCGAACGGGGUGCUUCGGCACCUAGUGGCGGACGGGUGAGUAACGCGUGAGGAUCUGCCCUUAGGACCGUGAUAACAGCUGGAAACGGCUGCUAAUACCGGAUGUGCCGGAAGGUGAAACAUUAAUGGCCUGAGGAUGAACUCGCGUCUGAUUAGCUAGUUGGUAGUGUAAUGGACUACCAAGGCGACGAUCAGUAGCUGGUCUGAGAGGAUGACCAGCCACACUGGGACUGAGACACGGCCCAGACUCCUACGGGAGGAAGCAGUGGGGAAUUUUCCGCAAUGGGGGCAACCCUGACGGAGCAAGACCGCGUGGGGGAAGAAGGUUUGUGGAUUGUAAACCCCUUUUGAUUGGGAAGAAGACAGUGACGGUACCAAUCGAAUCAGCAUCGGCUAACUCCGUGCCAGCAGCCGCGGUAAUAC